CUGAGAAGCCAAGGCGCUUGGCCUGCUGCAGCAGGUCUGGGGGCAAAGGCUGCCCACGGUGCUGCUCCAGCAGCUGCGUGUGGGCUAUGAUGUGCUUCAUCCGGUGCAAGAACCAGCGGUCGAUGCGCGUGAGCUCAUACAGGCGCUCCACCGAGUAGCCAGCCCACAGAGCAGCCGCCACCACAAAGAUGCGCUUAUCGGUCGGGGUCUCCAAUUCCUAACAGAGAGAGGAACCGGGCAGUCGAUGCAGGACUGUACAGGGGUAGGAGAGGUCAGGAUGCCAAGUCGAGAAAUUCCCAAUCUUCUGCCCGCACCACUCACAGCAGGCAUGGCUGCAGCUGUGUUAGGCAUGGGAGCUGCAGGGGCAGUGAAUUACUGAAUGCACUUCUUCCGGCCCAAGCCUCCCUAACUCCCACCAAACCAUUGCCUUUGCCCGCUGCAUAGGUCUGAUUAGAGGAAGGCACUAAUAGGAUUCACCAGUGAGUAAUUGCUAACGGGGUUCACCAAUCCUGCUGGGCAUAAAACGAGGCCUCUGAGAAGGGGGUAGGGGCAGGAACAGAAUGUGUUCUUUGGACCCCGAGAUCCCUGUGCAGCAAUGCUCCUUGACGCAGCUGUUGGUGUGACACCAGAGCAAGAGCAGCAGCAGCAGCAGCAGCAGCAAAGCCAGGACUCAGAGCAAUGAGGACAGGCUAGACUUCCCAGCCCACAGAGUAAGUAAAACGGAGUGCUUCGGGGCAAAAGGCUAGCCUGUGCACUGCGGUGCCUUUGGGCUGAGGUUCAUGGGUGUGGGGUGCCUCUGGGCACUCAAUUCUGGGAACUGGGUCUGUUGACCCACACGGAGCUCAAUGACAAUGCUGUCAGGUUGAGGCUUACAGCAGAGUGGCAUGCCCUUUCUGAGCAGCCGCCAAAGAAUGGUGUCCCAUGUCCUGACUCAAGCUGUGCUCUGCCCAUCUCUCACCUGACUGCAGCCUGUUACCUUCCUUCGUGAGCCCUAUAGUCAUGGACACUGCCCGGGUCCUGUGUGCCCAGUGCAAAGCAUUAUCAACUCAGCGGCUGGAGAAGUAGGAAGUGUUGAGAGACAGAACGGAAGCUGUUCCCCAGAAAACAGGCUCCGUUGCCAUGAACACCCCAGGGACAGAUACUGGCUCUGCCCUCCUGAUGGUGUGGCUUUGAGCAACUUGAACAACCUCUCUCAUCCAGGCCAUCCGUCUGUAAAAACAGGUUGAGCUGCUGCUACAUGAGCAACGGCCUCGCUCAGCACUCACAGCAGUUGGCCUUCUGGAAGGCUUCCUCAAACGAUCGCCCAAUGCCCAUGACUUCACCUGGAGGACAAAACACGAGGAUUGAGGCCCCGGGGCAGGCUGCUGCUCAGGACACCCACGGAGGUGCCCCAGUCAAGUCCCCAGGUAGAGUCUCUCCCUGAUAAGAGGUCUCAGCGAGAAAUCCUACACUUGCAGCUUUUUUGCCUGCAAAUGUCCAGGACUUCACGUUUUCCUUGCUCAGGCACAUGGGAAUUAAAAGGCUCCAUAGAGGCAGGUGGAUGCUGGACCACAUGACAGCUUAUCACAGCGGCCCAAGCCCCUGCUGGUUCUCCAGUUAUUGGAUGCACUUUACUCAUGUUGUGAUACCAUCUGGCAUCAGCCCAUCCUUGAGAGCUUUACAAUGUUUUGAUGAUCCACCACUCCCAGCCCAAGUGAAGCCAAGCACAAUUCAGCAGACAUUUUACAGGAUUUCCCCCCAACAUAUUUUUCUCUAUGGUUUCCUCUAUGAUCAGAGAAUACAUACUGUUUUCCAUCUUGUUUGCCUCCCCAUAGUGUGUGCAAAUUGUCAGAACACCUUACAGCCAGUGGUUUCUUACAUUUACCAUAAUGCAACUGCACCAACUGCUGCCAGCUUGGGGCACGUCUAGGUCCUCAUCAUCCCAAGUGAGGCAGGAUGUCUCCCGCGCUUUGGAUCAUAGGCUAGCUAUCCUGAACCAGACUUUACAACACAACCGAGCAUUUUUAUUUAAAGCUUUUUUUUUUAACUCUACGGGGCGGUUCUACUCCAUCACCAGGUCACCAAGUCAAAAUCUACCCAAUGGCAUCGGGCAAGCAAAGACAACACCCCGCUAGCUAGAUUUCUACUGUAGGAAGGAGAGGAGCUCUUCCUCCCAGGCUUGCUUAGUUUCUUCCCCUUUUAGGCACCUGCUGUCUUAAGUGUUUCCCCCUCCCCCUAUUUAAAACCCUGACAGGUUUCUCCUAAACUUUUUAAAAACCACCACAACGAGGUUACUGUGUUAAGGGAGUAGAUUGUGUUUAGAUUUUUGGUCAUGUGAUUGUACAAGGGGGCUUCAAAAUGUUCAAUAGAAUUUUUCUACAAAUAGAAAAAUUGUAUUAUAGAGCAAUACAAUACUUGACAAAUAGCUUUAUGCUAUUCCAGGGUUUGCCAUGAAAAAACAGAACCCCAGCACACUUGUGCAUGUCUGCCUGGAAACUGCUGGGUGGGUGCACAUCUGGAAACGCACAUCCCCCACACCCAUCCAAGUUCACCGUGUGUGUGUGAUAAGCUUACAGGUAAUUACUUUUGCUUGACCAAAACACAUGUUCUCAUUUGCCAAUGACUCCUGUACCCUACUUAAAAGUUACAAAGUAGCCAGAGAUCCCAUGUUAAAAAGACUAGAGUGGAUGGGAAACAUUUAAAUGUUUCACCGAGGGCUCGACCUUUGACUGUUCUGUUUUCAACCUACAUCUUUGCUCCACAAUUUAAUUAUGGCUUCACUCCAAUGUUUGUUAACUUUUCAAAUGAACAGGAAUUUAUCUCCAGAAGGAAUGA